rnacentral:rRNA from 1 species
UACGUAGGGCGCAAGCGUUAUCCGGAAUUAUUGGGCGUAAAGAGCUCGUAGGCGGUUUGUCGCGUCUGCCGUGAAAGUCCGGGGCUUAACUCCGGGUCUGCGGUGGAUACGGGCAGACUAGAGGUAGGUAGGGGAGAAUGGAAUUCCCGGUGUAGCGGUGAAAUGCGCAGAUAUCGGGAGGAACACCGGUGGCGAAGGCGGUUCUCUGGGCCUUACCUGACGCUGAGGAGCGAAAGCGUGGGGAGCGAACAGG